AGGGCAGCCUGCCCCAAGAAGUGCCCUCUCGCCGCACGCUGAUGCUGCGACCUGUCUGCCUGCACUGUGCUACCACUUCCACUGGGGCUAUGCCAUGGGGCUGGGCAGCUGUGAACUGCGGCACGCAUGCUGAGUGGCUCUGCUCGUAGAGGAGACCCAGCGAAGGAGGUUAGAAGCAGAGACCUGUUCUGCUGCAGUAUUCCUUGGAGAUGGGAUGUGCUGCUGCCUCUCCACUGACGCUCUUCUAGAGUACGAUGCCUGUCUGGCCCAGAAAAAAAUCAAGAAGACAGGCUGGCUUGCAUGAUUAUUUGAAAGCUGCGCAGACCUCAAGAAGGAGCUCUGAAUGUGGGGCCAGGACAGUACCAGACAGAAGGAGAGAAUCUGAGUCUCAGUGGCUCAUAUUACACAUGUCAGCUGCAAAGAGGAAAUAUUUGAAGACUGUUCUGUGGUAGGAGGGGAAAAACACGGCAAAACCUUUGAGCAGACGCCUCAGAGCCUGCAGGAUAAGGUGUCGUUGCACACCUGCAGCAUGCCGGGAUGCUAAAAUCCACCCUCAGCUCUGUCUGUUUCAGGAUGGAUGUGGGAUGGAUGACAAAGCCCUCAUGGAAGGAGCCUUUCUGGCCAGCACUUGUCACUACAGGACUCUUCCACCUUUAAUACGCAUGCGUUAACAUCUCCCGGCCUAUACAGGAAGGCAAAGGAGUAUCCUUUGCCAUCUGGAUGUGCUGGAGCAGAUAUUGGGGCCGCUGCACUGUGUGUGGCCAGUCCCAUGCCCUACUUUUAAGGAGUGCCAUGUGACAAAUCACAGUGCCUUGCUGUUUGCCAGGCACUGGGAAACUGCCUUGAACACAAGCCUGGGGAAAGUGGAAACAAAACUAUUUACAGAAUCCAGCUAUGAUUCAAAAUCGAUAGUAUUGUUGCAACAGCCAGCGUGGAAGAACAUCUCUGGGAGAACGUCUUCUGGGAGAAGUUUCUGUCGAUGGAGUUAGUCAGCGUCUUGCUGGCAAGGGGUGAGUACAGGAGAAGCAGCCACAGCUUCAGAAAACCUCAAAUUGCUGCUGUACC
rnacentral:lncRNA from 1 species